rnacentral:rRNA from 1 species
GACUCUCGGCAACGGAUAUCGCGGCUCUUGCAUCGAUGAAAAAUGUAGCGAAAUGCGAUACCUGGUGUGAAUUGCAGAAUCCCGCGAACCAUCAAGUCUUUGAACGCAAGUUGAGCCCGAGGCCAGGGGCGGAGCUAGCAGGGUGGCA